CAGUCGAACGAGUUCUCGUUGAUGAUCGGUGCUUGCACCGAGAUUCACCUGUAACGAGUGGCGGACGGGUGAGUAACACGUGGGUAACCCGCCCUUAAGUGGGGGAUAACAUUUGGAAACAGAUGCUAAUACCGCAUAGAUCCAAGAACCGCAUGGUUCUUGGCUGAAAGAUGGCGUAAGCUAUCGCUUUUGGAUGGACCCGCGGCGUAUUAGCUAGUUGGUGAGGUAAUGGCUCACCAAGGCGAUGAUACGUAGCCGAACUGAGAGGUUGAUCGGCCACAUUGGGACUGAGACACGGCCCAAACUCCUACGGGAGGCAGCAGUAGGGAAUCUUCCACAAUGGACGCAAGUCUGAUGGAGCAACGCCGCGUGAGUGAAGAAGGCUUUCGGGUCGUAAAACUCUGUUGUUGGAGAAGAAUGGUCGGCAGAGUAACUGUUGUCGGCGUGACGGUAUCCAACCAGAAAGCCACGGCUAACUACGUGCCAGCAGCCGCGGUAAUACGUAGGUGGCAAGCGUUAUCCGGAUUUAUUGGGCGUAAAGCGAGCGCAGGCGGUUUUUUAAGUCUGAUGUGAAAGCCCUCGGCUUAACCGAGGAAGCGCAUCGGAAACUGGGAAACUUGAGUGCAGAAGAGGACAGUGGAACUCCAUGUGUAGCGGUGAAAUGCGUAGAUAUAUGGAAGAACACCAGUGGCGAAGGCGGCUGUCUGGUCUGUAACUGACGCUGAGGCUCGAAAGCAUGGGUAGCGAACAGGAUUAGAUACCCUGGUAGU
rnacentral:rRNA from 1 species